rnacentral:rRNA from 1 species
AACACAUGCAAGUCGAACGCGAAAGAGGGGCAACUCUCGAGUAGAGUGGCGGACGGGUGAGUAAUACGUAGGAAUCUUCCUUAAAGUGGGGGAUAACCACGCGAAAGCGUGGCUAAUACCGCAUAAUUUCUGAGGAAAAAAGAGGGGGACCUUUCGGGGCCUUUCGCUUUAAGAUGAGCCUACGCCGGAUUAGCUAGUUGGUAGGGUAAAAGCCUACCAAGGCAACGAUCCGUAGCUGGUUUGAGAGAACGACCAGCCACACUGGGACUGAGAUACAGCCCAGACUCCUACGGGAGGCAGCAGUGGGGAAUAUUGGACAAUGGGCGAAAGCCUGAUCCAGCCAUGCCGCGUGAGUGAUGAAGGCCUUAGGGUUGUAAAGCUCUUUCAGUGGGGAAGAUAAUGACGGUACCCACAGAAGAAGCCCCGGCUAACUUCGUGCCAGCAGCCGCCGUAAAAC